rnacentral:lncRNA from 1 species
GAGUAAUACUGGGGAAGCAGCAGCUGAAAGAAUAGAUGUGAAGUAAAUACAUUCCAAAUGGUCAGGGUGGCUGGGUCUUGCUGCAUCCAAUAAUCUAGCUUGCUUCCUGCACAAAUUAGGUGCUCGCUCCCUGAGUCAUGAAGAAUUAGUUGCACAGACUCCAAAAUGAUUUUCUUCUCAGCAGAUUGAGCCAGGCAGUCUCUGAAGAGAGCAAAUAGUUCCAGCAGGCAGUCUUUUCAAUUUCUCCAGGCAAUUUUACAUCAAACUACUUGGAAUGUGACCUUGUGCAAAAGGGCCUGUUAAUGGGAACACAACUGUCCUACGCAGUGUGGUUUUACUGUAACACCUAAACUUUCAGAGUGAUUUCUGCAAAACUCGACAUACAAUCCUUAUUAAAUGUGUUAUUCUGUAUGAACUUCCAGAAUACCUAAAUUAUCAUGGAUUUCUUAAUUUAUCUAUGGUAAUCCAUCUCUUGAGGAUCAGCAGUGUUAACUUUCUACUCAAUGGAUGUCACAGACCCAUUUGAUGUGGGGACAACUGGGUAAAGACUCUAAAAUAAUUCAGCAGAAGUCAGCUUCCCCAGUGAGGCAGUGCAAAGAAGGGGAAAGAGCCUCCCCUCCACCCCUCUUAAUCAAGUCCACCUGAGCAGUUAACCUCUCCCAGGCCAUGACUUCAAGCAGGGCUUUUUUCAGCUGGAACUCACCGCAACUCAGUUCCAGCACCCAUCAGGUGGGUGCCAUUAUAACAAAACAAGGGAGGUGUUAAUGGUAAAUUCCAACCCCUCUUUUUCUAGAAAAGUAGUGCUGAAUUUAAGAACAGCAGAAGCAGCUGAUAAGGGAGAAGAGGAGUUCUGGGAUUUAAAUAAUCAUUUUGUGAGUUGUGUGUUUGUUUUUCAAUUUGAUCCUCUUACAUAGUUUUGUAUGUAUUGUGAUAUUUUAUAAAUUGUGACUUUCAGUUAUUUUUAUUUAUCAUAGUUUAGUAAUUAUAUAUUGUAAUGGCUAAGUGUGAAUUUCUGUUUAAUUAUUACAGUGGUACCUCAGGUUACAUAUGCUUCAGGUUACAUACGCUUCAGGUUACAGACUCUGCUAACCCAGAAAUAGUGCUUCAGGUUAAGAACUUUGCUUCAGGCUAUUAUGGCCUUUGACGCUUAAACAAUUAGGAAAUCACAUUGGAUGUAAUUGAGAGAGGCAGUAAUACAGUGGAUAAGAACGCUGAAGUGCCAGGUUUAGUUCUACUUCGACAUUUUUCAAAGAAAAAAAGUUUGUUUCAUCACACUUUUCACUGACAGCUAAGGUUACAAUUUCUAACACAAGGCAUGCUGUGAUGUGUCCCAAGUCAUUUUGUAAUGAAACAGCACUACCUGAAGGCUUGUUAAAAGGAUGAACAGCAGGUGGGGAACCUGAAGCUUUCUAAAAGCAUGCAGGAAAGUUAUUGAAAAAUAAAAUUCAAGCUGAAAAUUCAUGAACUUGAGUAAGACUUUAAGAGAAGCAAGCUGUCAAUCCUAGUGUUUCUGAAGCAACACUAAUCCAACAUACAUAUUCCUAUUCUCCCAAAUCCAUGGGAUGGAUCCAUAGGCAGAUGAGCAAAACUCUGUGCUGGCAACAGGGCUUUCCUGGCUCCUCCCUCAUUACAGACUUUUGCACCUUGAAAAGCCACUCCUUAUAGGGCACAAAUGGUUGGAACGGGAUAGGGAAAUUUCACAAGGAGAAGAUCCUUCUGUAUGCAAAAGAUGUCUCUCGAUCUGAGCCUGUGCAUUUUCCAGUGGUGUUAAUGGCAGCUGUAUGUAGGAAUGGGGGUGAGUGGGAUUCAAUUUAAUUCACAUUUGAAGGUAAAACUACCUAAAUCAACUUUCCAAAGCAGUACAUGAACCAAAAUGCAUCAACCCUUCGAAAUUCACAUUUCUCUGAGUUUGCAGUGCACUUCUCCAGCCAAGUAAUGUACACAAGAAAUCAUGUUCUUGGGUAAAGUGUGUAUUAAAAUGCAUAUAUUAGUGAAAGCAACAUAAUUAUAAUACAAAACUUUGGGAAAAUGUGUACAUUAGGCAAAAGUGUGUACAAAAAUAUGUAUAUUAGGAUAAAUUCACCCUAAAAUGUAUUAUUUUAUUAACAGUAUUGCUACGAGUUUGUCAUGGUCUUAGGCUACAAAUAAACUUAUGAACUAACUGAGA